GCAGGGCAGUUCGCUGGACAAAGGCGAGGGGAGAGCCGGCCCUCUCUCCGCCAAGGGCACAGUCCUCAGUCUCCAAAAUGCGUCUCCCUCUGGGAGCGCUACCUGUGCACCUGGGCAGCAAUCAACUCCGCAGGUGUCCUGGGCCCUCUCUUCCAGAGAGGUGGGGAAGGGGCAGAGGUCAGGAAUCGUCAACUGUUUUCGGGGGUGAUUUGGGAAAAAGAUAGAGGACAUAAGCAUUUGUCUAUAAAGGCAGGAGGCUUGGCAUCCCUCCGUGCGUUGCCGUGGAAACGCAGACAGGCAGCUGUCCCAGGGCCGGGGCUGGCUCCCCAGCUCUGCCCACACAGCCGCGAGGUCUGCCGGCAGCUUCAGCGUCCACUGUCCGGGGCUCCCUUCUGCAGCAACAGAACACAGGUGACACGGAUUUUGCGCCCCAGGGAGGUCGGAGACGCAAAAGGACCAAGUUCAGCAAGACCCAGUACCAGGUGCUCAUCGAGGCCUUCGAGAGGGACUCAUACCCUGAUAUCACUGCCAGAGAAGAACUGGCUCGACGAACCCAGAUCCCUGAGCCCAGAAUCCAGGUCUGGUUUCAGAACCGGAGAGCCCGAAUCCCCAAGAGCAACCAGAGGAGGCCAGGCGUGGAGGCAGGUGCCCAGGCGCCAGGGUCCGGUCAGCACGGCAGGGGCGCCCCCCACUGCGCCUGCCAGCCAAGCUUUGUGGGGGCCCCGAGCACCGCUGGCCACUUCUUGGCGUCGGAGGGCACUUCUGGUCAGGCCAUCCCAUCGGGGCACGCUGCUGUCGUGGACGAGAACGUGGCCUUGCAUGACGUGGAGACUCCAGGCAGCGCACUGGGCGAGCCUUCCGGAGAUUUCUAUCUCUCUCCCUUGGGCUUCAGCCCCGAAGCCCUGUGUCCGUUUCCUGCUUCCCUGCAGCCCCUCUCCCAGCCGGAAGAAACCGGAGCUCAGUGGGGGGACCUGGGACAGCUCCUGCCCUACGGGGACUGUGCCCUGCAGGGCUGGGAACAGCCUCCCGCCUCCAGUGAGCCGCAGCCGCAGCCGUGGUGGGGCUGGCAGCCUUCGCCCUCACUGGAGCGAGACGUGUUGCCCCCACAGCCCCAGCCCCCGGGGCCCUGGGAGCAGCCAGCAUGGCCCCUGCCCCCCACGGAGCCCUGGCCCCAGCCGUCACUGGAGCAGGUGCCCAUGGGCGUCGGGAGCAGUUUCCCCACCCCCCUGGGACACGGGAUGCUUGAGGGAGGCCCCGGGGCCCCCACACACCCCGGCCCCCAAUCCCGCAGCUGUGGGGCCAUGCUGGGAGCUGCUGCUACAGCGAAACGUUGAAAUGACUUCAGCUCCAAUGGUAGGAGAUAGUGAGUGA
rnacentral:lncRNA from 1 species